rfam:Schistosoma rodhaini strain Burundi genome assembly, scaffold: SROB_scaffold0003773
AUCCAGCUGACGAGUCCCAAAUAGGACGAAACGCACGCCCUGAAU